CCAUCCUCUUCCAUCCUCUUUAAUUGUUGUCCAGAGAUACAGCUCAAAGGCUAAUUAACUAAUAAUGUCAAGAUUUUGGGACAUAGUUAAAAAACAUAAAAAUCCCCCACCCAUUCUACAUAUACUAUAGAUGCUUCGGACACAGACAUGCAUUGUCUGCUCGGUUAUGAAUUCUAUCAGCCAUAGGCUUUGCACCAUGGAAAGCAAUAAGGAGUAGUUAGCCAAAGUAGAUCACAAAGAGAUUUUUUUCACCGGCAACAUUUCGAUCCAAUCCACAAGGUCGUUAUCAAACCUUGAUAAAGACCCUGAGGUUGGGUCGAAACGUUACCGCUUCAAUACAGUUGAAAUAAAUCUCUUUAUGAUCUACUUUGGUGCUGUGGCUCCUUAUGGCUUUCUAUACUGUCUGUGAGGUAAUUGGAAGGAGAUUUUAGAGAUUUGUUAAACAUGAACUUGUCUGUAGCAAUGCUAUAUUGAGCAGAACUGUGGAAUCAGCUCUGUUCUGUUAAAACCAAAGAAAACCCCCCAGAUGUUGUAUUUAUGUUACACUUCCCAUUUUAUUAGCUUCCUUCUUUUCUCAGAAACAACACUGUUUUUAUCUGUAAGGCUGUAUCUAUGCCCAAAAAUGAUUUUUAUUAUAGGGACACUCCACGGACCAAAUACAAAAUAAAUAAAUCAAUAUUUAGUAAAUAUACCCCAAAUAAAACUUAAAUGCAUUUUUUAAUUUGGGGUAUGUAUAUAUAUAUAUAUACACUGCUCAAAAAAAUAAAGGGAACACUUAAACAACACAAUGUAACUCCAAGUCAAUCACACUUCUGUGAAAUCAAACUGCCCACUUAGGAAGCAACACUGAGUGACAGUCAAUUUCACAUGCUGUUGUGCAAAUGGGAUAGACAACAGGUGGAAAUUAUAGGCAAUUAGCAAGACACCCCCAAUAAAGGAGUGGUUCUGCAGGUGGUGACCACAGACCACUUCUCAGUUCCUAUGCUUCCUGGCUGAUGUUUUGGUCACUUUUGAAUGCUGGCGGUGCUUUCACUCUAGUGGUAGCAUGAGACGGAGUCUACAACCCACACAAGUGGCUCAGGUAGUGCAGCUCAUCCAGGAUGGCACAUCAAUGCGAACUGUGGCAAGAAGGUUUGCUGUUGUAACGGACCGUUUUGCACACAAGAGGUUAAAAACUGUUUAGGCGAUAUUCUCCUUUUCAGAUGCACAGGCAGCUACUGCAAUCACCCAAAUCUGCAAACACACGAAUUCACCAAUCCCCCGAACUGCAAACACAUGAAAACUCCAACUCCCGAACAGGAAACACACGAAUGCGGUAAACAGCCAAACAGGAAACACACGAAUGCUGUAAACAGCCGAACAGGAAAAACCAUACGAACAGUUUACACUCCU